rnacentral:rRNA from 1 species
CGAACUCUGGUAUUGAUUGGUGCUUGCAUCAUGAUUUACAUUUGAGUGAGUGGCGAACUGGUGAGUAACACGUGGGAAACCUGCCCAGAAGCGGGGGAUAACACCUGGAAACAGAUGCUAAUACCGCAUAACAACUUGGACCGCAUGGUCCGAGUUUGAAAGAUGGCUUCGGCUAUCACUUUUGGAUGGUCCCGCGGCGUAUUAGCUAGAUGGUGGGGUAACGGCUCACCAUGGCAAUGAUACGUAGCCGACCUGAGAGGGUAAUCGGCCACAUUGGGACUGAGACACGGCCCAAACUCCUACGGGAGGCAGCAGUAGGGAAUCUUCCACAAUGGACGAAAGUCUGAUGGAGCAACGCCGCGUGAGUGAAGAAGGGUUUCGGCUCGUAAAACUCUGUUGUUAAAGAAGAACAUAUCUGAGAGUAACUGUUCAGGUAUUGACGGUAUUUAACCAGAAAGCCACGGCUAACUACGUGCCAGCAGCCGCGGUAAUACGUAGGUGGCAAGCGUUGUCCGGAUUUAUUGGGCGUAAAGCGAGCGCAGGCGGUUUUUUAAGUCUGAUGUGAAAGCCUUCGGCUCAACCGAAGAAGUGCAUCGGAAACUGGGAAACUUGAGUGCAGAAGAGGACAGUGGAACUCCAUGUGUAGCGGUGAAAUGCGUAGAUAUAUGGAAGAACACCAGUGGCGAAGGCGGCUGUCUGGUCUGUAACUGACGCUGAGGCUCGAAAGUAUGGGUAGCAAAC